rnacentral:ncRNA from 2 species
ACUUCACAUCGCGGGAGCUCGCGCCGAAAGCGGGCUGAGAGGGCGGCUGGACCUGUUCGGGUCCGGUGCCGCCGACCGCACGAACCUGUCCGGGUAAUGCCGGCGUAGGGAGGAAUGCCAUGUCGGCG